rnacentral:rRNA from 1 species
AGAGUUUGAUCAUGGCUCAGGAUGAACGCUGGCGGUAUGCCUAACACAUGCAAGUCGAACGAUGUCUUCGGACAUAGUGGCGGACGGGUGAGUAACGCGUGAGAAUCUGCCUCUAGGAUGGGGAUAACGGUUGGAAACGACCGCUAACACCCAAUAUGCCGUAAGGUGAAAAAUUUAUUGCCUGGAGAGGAGCUCGCGUCUGAUUAGCUAGUUGGUGGGGUAAGAGCUCACCAAGGCCUCNAUCAGUAGCUGGUCUGAGAGGAUGAGCAGCCACACUGGGACUGAGACACGGCCCANACUCCUACGGGAGGCAGCAGUGGGGAAUUUUCCGCAAUGGGCGAAAGCCUGACGGAGCAAUACCGCGUGAGGGAGGAAUGCCUUUGGGUUGUAAACCUCUUUUCUCAGGGAAGAAGAUCUGACGGUACCUGAGGAAUAAGUAUCGGCUAACUCCGUGCCAGCAGCCGCGGUAAUACGGAGGAUGCAAGCGUUAUCCGGAAUCAUUGGGCGUAAAGCGUCCGCAGGUGGUUUCCAAAGUCUGCUGUUAAAGACUGGAGCUCAACUCCGGAACGGCGGUGGAAACUUGGAAACUAGAGUUCGGUAGGGGUAGCANGAAUUCCCAGUGUAGCGGUGAAAUGCG